GACGAACGCUGGCGGCGUGCUUAGCACAUGCAAGUCGAACGGAAAGGCCUGCUUUCCCUUGUGGAUUGCGGGUACUCGAGUGGCGAACGGGUGAGUAACACGUGAGUGAUCUGCCCCCAACUUGGGUAUAAGCCUGGGAAACUGGGUCUAAUUCCCGAUAGGACUGCAGGGUGGUGCCUGUGGUGGAAAACGAUUUUCUAGUGGUUGGGGAUGAGCUCGCGGCCUAUCAGCUUGUUGGUGGGGUAAUGGCCUACCAAGGCGGCGACGGGUAGCCGGCCUGGGAGGGUGGACGGGCACAUUGGGACUGAGAUACGGCCCAGACUCCUACGGGAGGCAGCAGUGGGGAAUAUUGCACAAUGGGCGGAAGCCUGAUGCAGCGACGCCGCGUGGGGGAUGACGGCCUUCGGGUUGUAAACUCCUUUCGACCGCGAGGAAGCCACCUGGUUGGAAGGGUGGUGACGGUAGUGGUAGAAGAAGCACCGGCUAACUACGUG
rnacentral:rRNA from 1 species